CUUGGUGAUCAUAGCGCCUGUGACCCACCCGAUCCCAUCUCGAACUCGGCCGUGAAACCAGACUGCGCCGAUGGUACUUCAGCUUAAGCUGCGGAAGAGUAGGUCGUCGCCAGGC
rnacentral:rRNA from 1 species